ACAGAAUUUGCUGCAGUGACUGGCAUAUGUAUUUGGAGCUGUGAACCUCUUCUCUAAUAAACAGAAACUAUCUGCCAACAAAGAAAACAUGCAGAUGUCCUCUAAAGUUGUUCUCUGCUCGGAAUUAGAGGGCAGGUGGCAACAACGUUGAAGAGAGAUCUAGAAAAUUCUGUCACAUCACUGUCACCAAAGCAGGGCAGACUGACCAUAGGUUGAAUGAAUAUAUACAAUACAAACAAGAAGCUAGGCAUAGUGGGGCAUGCCUGCAUUGGCAGCUCUC
rnacentral:lncRNA from 1 species